UGGAAUCACAGGAAGGAAACCUCCGUGGGCAGCAGGAGCAAGUGCAAUCCCUGGAGACGAGUCGAAGGGGCCCGAGGCCCCGAGAAGGGCAGGAUGCGAUGCUGGGUGUGUGACCUCAGCCAUGGAAGGGCCACCUGCCACCGGGGGGCUGGGCCGUCGGGCCUUUGGUUGUGGAGGGAAAAGAGUGGCCACUUGCUGGAGCUGGGAACGUGCAGUGAUGAGCACUAGGACAAGAGGACCGUGACAAACAGACAUAGAAGGUAAAACUGCCCGAGUACAGGCUGAUCCACAGACCUGUGUCCAGGGAGAGGCCUCAGGAUGGAUUUGGAAAUGCAGGACAGGUUCAUGAAAUCCUCACACACCUGCCACAUACUCAAGGAGGGUGCUGUUUACUUGAUUGAUUGUGCUGGUCCUGAACAUCUGACAUGAUUUGUGGUUAUAAAUGGGUGUUUGCCGUUAACUAUAAGUAUCUUGGAGUAAUUUAACAAACAACAAUAGGUAUUGGGGCAGGUCAGCGCGUCUCCACCUGAAAGACAAAGGAAAGCCGUGAACGCAGGACCAGCAGUUGUGGCUCACGGUGAGAGGUGACAGCGUGGUAGCAUCCCUUGCUGGCUCUGGGCGCGUCCUCGGCCUCGGCGUCCGCUCUGGCCGCGCUCAAGGAGCUCUUCAGCCCGCCGCUGCGCUAUGAGGGCCUCUCUCUGGGGCUGGCGGAGGCCGGAGCCUGCUCCCUCUGCUGGCGGGGAGGUGUGAAGAGAAAGGCACUGGCUGGAGCCGGCGCUGCGCGCGGCGCUCGCGGCCCAGCGCUUGGGUUCCAGGUGAGCUCCGGCUCUGCAAGCCCCGCACUCGGCGUGGCCGGCCGGCGCCUGCUGGGCUUGAUCGGAGACUGAAUCCCUGCGUGGACCACCGUUCCCUCUUCGCGGGAUUGUUGGCCACCAUAGCCGAUCUCCGUCUCUUUCUCUCUUCCCCUCUUUUCCUCUUGAUUGUCUGGAACUAGCUCCCUCUGGGCUGCCGGAUUACCCGGCCCGCCAAGUUCCGCAGCGAGAGCCAGUGAGAGAUGAUGCCGGCUGGGCUUCUGGGACGGUUGGGGACUUGGAGAACUUUUGUGUCUAACUAAAGGAUUGUAAACGCACCAAUCAGCACUCUGUGUCUAGCUAAAGGUUUGUAAAUGCACCAAUCAGCUCUCUGUCAAAACGGACCAAUCAGCUCUCUGUAAAAUGGACCAAUCAGCUGCCUGUAAAGCGGACCAAUCAGCAGGAUGUGGGUGGGGCCAAAUAAGGGACUAAAAGCAGGCCACCAGAGCAGGCCGCUGCAGCUUGCUCGGGUUCUCUCUCUGCUCUGUGGAAACGUUGUUGUUUAGCUCUUUGCAGUGAAUCUGGCUGCUGCUUAUUGUUUGGGACUGUGCCACCUUUUUUUUUUUUUUUUUUUUUUUGAGACAGAUUCUUGUUCUGUCUCUUAGGCUGGAGUGCAGUGGCGUGGUCUCGGCUAACUGCAAGCUCCGCCUCCCAGGUUCACGCCGUUCUCCUAUUUCAGUCUUUCCGGUAGCUGGGACUACAGGCGCCCACCACAAUGCCUGGCUAAUUUGCGCCAUCUUUAAGAGCUGUAACACUCACCGCUAAGGUCUGCAGCUUCACUCCUGAAGCCAGCCAGACUACGAACCCUUACUACGAACCCAUCAGCUGGAAGGAACAAUUCCAGACAAUUCCACACAGGAGGAAGCAACAACUCUGGAUGUGCCACCUUUAGGAACUGUACCACUCACGGGAAGGUCUGCAGCUUCACUCCUGAAGUGAGCAAGACUACGAACCUACCGGGAGGAAGGAACAAAUUACGGACACACCAUUCUUUAAGAACUGUAACAAACCCGCGAGGGUCCGCAGCUUCAUUCUUGAAGUCAGCGAGACCAAGAACCCACUAAUUCCAUACGCAAUGGGUUCAUUUCUUUUUUUUUUUUUUUUACAAAAGUCUUCUCUGUGCUGACUUAAGGGGACACUUUGUGUCACUUCCAGGGAAGGAUGCGCUGGGGUCCCGACAUUCUGUCAGGGUCCAAACACCCUCGUUCCUCAUCCAGGGCAUGGAGCACCUGAGUAGGAUGGAACAUUUGGGAAAAACCCCACCUCAGUCCCAGGCCCGGCAGCCUGAGGAGAUCUAAGGCUGGCUGGGCAUUCGAGCUGUAAGAGCAGGGAGUGUUUACUGCACCCAGGAGAGGUGAUCAGGACACAAUUUCACUAUUUCUGGUUGUUUUAGAAUCAGGUUCCUUUGUCUCCUUAUUUUACCUCAGUUACAUUUUCCAAGAUCCUAGGACUCACAGAAGGAUGCAGUCGGUGGGGGCAGAGUGCUGUACCAGGGCCUCCAGACAUGGUUUCUAGACACUGGCUCAUGUGAUGGCACCAGGGCCCCCAGCCAUGGUUUCUAGACAUUUGGUCAUACCAUGGCCUUGGUUGAUGACCCCAUCCAUCGGAUUUCAUCCUCCUCAAAACGAAACAGAAGGUUUAGCCCAGCAGAUCUCUGGAGUCUGUGAUUUUCAGAUGAGAGCCCAAUUGAUGGUGAAGCAUAACAAGAGUACGGUUGAUUUCAUUCCUUCAGCAUUCACUUAUUCCAUGUGUGUGUAAAGCCUGAUCUGUGUUGGAGAGCUCAGCAUGCAGACAUGACGUGAUGGAGCUGUGGCUCUACAGUUACCCCUCACCAUAGUAAACAGAUGCACAAUUACUUUUGAUUAUGUUCGUGUAAUAAAGGUAGUUAAAGUUCAACAUUUAUCAGAAAAACAUAUGAGCUCUGACAGUUCAUAAUUUGACAUCAUUUAGAACCAUGGCCAUAAAAGAGUCUGCAGGCACAAAGCCCGUGUCAAAAGAAGAAGGAAAGUGAUCAGGUGUCUCUUACUACAGGUCCUUUGCUUAUGACUUCCAGAGAUUCAGUAUAAUUGUGCAUCAGAUAAACGGGCUAGAAUAAAGACUCAUAACUUCUUUGUCACA
ensembl:lncRNA LINC02199 long intergenic non-protein coding RNA 2199